UUUCCUACGGGCGGCAGCAGUGGGGAAUUUUGGACAAUGGGGGCAACCCUGAUCCAGCCAUGCCGCGUGAGUGAAGAAGGCCUUCGGGUUGUAAAGCUCUUUCGGCCGGGAAGAAAUCGCAUCUCCUAAUACGGGGUGUGGAUGACGGUACUGGAAGAAGAAGCACCGGCUAACUACGUGCCAGCAGCCGCGGUAAUACGUAGGGUGCGAGCGUUAAUCGGAAUUACUGGGCGUAAAGCGUGCGCAGGCGGCGCCAUAAGACAGCUGUGAAAUCCCCGGGCUUAACCUGGGAACUGCGGUUGUGACUGUGGUGCUUGAGUGCGGCAGAGGGGGGUGGAAUUCCACGUGUAGCAGUGAAAUGCGUAGAGAUGUGGAGGAACACCGAUGGCGAAGGCAGCCCCCUGGGUUGACACUGACGCUCAUGCACGAAAGCGUGGGGAGCAAACAGGAUUAGAUACCCCUGUAGUCACG
rnacentral:rRNA from 1 species